rnacentral:rRNA from 1 species
CCUANGGGAGGCUGCAGUGGGGAAUAUUGGUCAAUGGGCGAAAGCCUGAACCAGCAAUGCCGCGUGAGUGAUGAAGGCCUUCGGGUUGUAAAGCUCUGUCAGGAGGAACGAAAAUACCACUUCGGUGGUACUGACGGUACCUUCAAAGGAAGCACCGGCUAACUCUGUGCCAGCAGCCGCGGUAAUACAGAGGGUGCAAGCGUUGUUCGGAAUUACUGGGCGUAAAGCGCGUGUAGGCGGUAUAGUAAGUCUGACGUGAAAUCCCUUGGCUUAACCAAGGACCUGCGUCAGAUACUGCUAAACUGGAGUCUCGGAGGGGGUGGCGGAAUUCCCGGUGUAGAGGUGAAAUUCGUAGAUAUCGGGAGGAACACCUGUGGCGAAGGCGGCCACCUGGAAGACGACUGACGCUGAGACGCGAAAGCGUGGGUAGCAAACAGGAUUAGAUACCCCGNUANUC